GACGGAGGAUGCAAGCGUUAUCCGGAAUGAUUGGGCGUAAAGCGUCCGCAGGUGGCAGUUCAAGUCUGCUGUCAAAGACCGGGGCUUAACUUCGGAAAGGCAGUGGAAACUGAACAGCUAGAGUAUGGUAGGGGCAGAGGGAAUUCCUGGUGUAGCGGUGAAAUGCGUAGAGAUCAGGAAGAACACCGGUGGCGAAGGCGGCCCACUGGUCCGGUACUGACGCUGAGGUGCGAAAGCGUGGGGAGCAAACAGG
rnacentral:rRNA from 1 species